rnacentral:tRNA from 1 species
GCGCCCGUAGCUCAGUGGCAGAGCGACCGCCUUUUAAGCGGUACGUCGUGGGUUCGAUCCCCACCGGGCACA